rnacentral:sRNA from 1 species
UUGUCAUUAUCGAACUCUGUCUACAAA